UGGGGAAUAUUGCACAAUGGGGGAAACCCUGAUGCAGCGACGCCGCGUGAGCGAAGAAGGUUUUCGAAUCGUAAAGCUCUGUCCUAUGGGAAGAUAAUGACGGUACCAUAGGAGGAAGCCCCGGCUAACUACGUGCCAGCAGCCGCGGUAAUACGUAGGGGGCAAGCGUUGUCCGGAAUCACUGGGCGUAAAGGGUUCGCAGGCGGAAAUGCAAGUCAGUUGUGAAAGGCAGAGGCUCAACCUCUGUAAGCAAUUGAAACUGUAUUUCUUGAGAUGUGGAGAGGGAAGUGGAAUUCCUAGUGUAGCGGUGAAAUGCGUAGAUAUUAGGAAGAAUACCGGUGGCGAAGGCGACUUGCUGGACACAAACUGACGCUGAGGAACGAAAGCGUGGGUAGCAAACAGG
rnacentral:rRNA from 1 species